rnacentral:rRNA from 1 species
UACGUAGGUGACCAGCGUUGUCCGGAUUUACUGGGCGUAAAGAGCGCGCAGGCGGUCGUUCAAGUCGAGUGUGAAAGCCCCCGGCUCAACUGGGGAGGGUCACUCGAUACUGAUCGACUUGAAGGCAGGAGAGGGAAGCGGAAUUCCCGGUGUAGUGGUGAAAUGCGUAGAUAUCGGGAGGAACACCAGUGGCGAAGGCGGCUUCCUGGCCUGUUCUUGGCGCUGAGGCGCGAAAGCUAGGGGAGCAAACGGG